rnacentral:piRNA from 1 species
UGAUGAUUUUGACUUUUCCAUUCUUC